AGCGAACGCUGGCGGCGUGCCUAACACAUGCAAGUCGAACGGAGUAUAUAUUAUGAAGUUUUCGGAUGGAUUAAUAUAAACUUAGUGGCGGACGGGUGAGUAACGCGUGGGUAACCUGCCUCAUACAGGGGGGUAACAGCUGGAAACGGCUGCUAAAACCGCAUAACAUUGCGACAUCGCAUGGUGAUGCAAUUAAAUAUUUAUAGGUAUGAGAUGGGCCCGCGUCUGAUUAGCUAGUUGGUGAGGUAAUGGCUCACCAAGGCGACGACCAGUAGCCGGCUUGAGAGAGUGACCGGCCACAUUGGGACUGAGACACGGCCCAAACUCCUACGGGAGGCAGCAGUGGGGAAUAUUGCACAAUGGGGGAAACCCUGAUGCAGCGACGCCGCGUGAGUGAAGAAGUAUUUCGGUACGUAAAGCUCUAUCAGCAGGGAAGAAAAUGACGGUACCUGACUAAGAAGCCCCGGCUAACUACGUGCCAGCCGCCGCCGUAA
rnacentral:rRNA from 1 species